GGUCAAGUUAUUAAGGGUGCAGGGCGGAUGCCUUGGCACUAGGAGCCGAUGAAGGACGUGAUAAGCUGCGAUAAGCUUCGGGGAGUUGCACGUAAACUUUGAUCCGAAGAUUUCCGAAUGAGGAAACUCACUUAGAGUAAUGUCUAAGUAUCAUUAAGUGAAUACAUAGCUUAAUGAGGGGAACUCAGGGAACUGAAACAUCUAAGUACCUGAAGGAAGAGAAAGAAAUUCGAUUCCGUAAGUAGCGGCGAGCGAACGCGGAUUAGCCCAAACCAAUAAAGUUUUCUUUAUUGGGGUUGCGGACAUAUCAUAACGAAGAGGUAUCGUAAUUGAAGAGGUUUGGAAAGACCCACCACAGAAGGUAAUAGUCCUGUAUGUUAAACGAGAAGACUUUAGAUAUGAUCCAGAGUACCACGGGACACGUGAAACCCUGUGGGAAGCAGGAGGGA
rnacentral:rRNA from 1 species